rnacentral:rRNA from 1 species
GGGAUAACCUUGCGAAAGUAAGACUAAUACCCAAUGAUAUCUCUAGAAGACAUCUGAAAGAGAUUAAAGAUUUAUCGGUGAUGGAUGGGGAUGCGUCUGAUUAGCUUGUUGGCGGGGUAACGGCCCACCAAGGCGACGAUCAGUAGGGGUUCUGAGAGGAAGGUCCCCCACAUUGGAACUGAGACACGGUCCAAACUCCUACGGGAGGCAGCAGUGAGGAAUAUUGGUCAAUGGGCGAGAGCCUGAACCAGCCAAGUAGCGUGCAGGAUGACGGCCCUAUGGGUUGUAAACUGCUUUUAUAAGGGAAUAAAGUGAGCUUCGUGAGGCUUUUUGCAUGUACCUUAUGAAUAAGGACCGGCUAAUUCCGUGCCAGCAGCCGCGGUAAUACGGAAGGUCCGGGCGUUAUCCGGAUUUAUUGGGUUUAAAGGGAGCGUAGGCCGGAGAUUAAGCGUGUUGUGAAAUGUAGAUGCUCAACGUCUGCACUGCAGCGCGAACUGGUUUCCUUGAGUACGCACAAAGUGGGCGGAAUUCGUGGUGUAGCGGUGAAAUGCUUAGAUAUCACGAAGAACUCCGAUUGCGAAGGCAGCUCACUGGAGCGCAACUGACGCUGAAGCUCGAAAGUGCGGGUAUCGAACAGGAUUAGAUACCCUGGUAGUCCGCACGGUAAACGAUGGAUGCCCGCUGUUGGUCUGAAUAGGUCAGCGGCCAAGCGAAAGCAUUAAGCAUCCCACCUGGGGAGUAC